rnacentral:lncRNA from 1 species
AAAAGGCGACCGCCUAUGAUGAAAGGCGAAGACACCAAAGAGAGUUGGUGUAGGUGGAGCUGUCAAGCAGAAAGGCACAGAAGCUCCAAACAUAGAAAUCGAGGUGGAGGAUUGCGAGGAGUAUACCGCAAGUUUCUCUUUCUAUGUAAUCAGUGGCAAUUAUCUCUCCCAUAGUGCACAUGGUGGUAGAGAACUUUUUUGGAGCCACUUUGAAGCAUCUCAGCUGAAAGAGGAUGCGACCGCCUAUGAAAGGCGAAGACACCUUAGAGAAGGUGUGAGGGCCAUGAUAGGAGCCCCAGUUCAGACCGCCCCAUGACAACAGGCGAAGACACCUUAAAGAAGGUGUAUGGGCCACGAUAGGAGCCCAAGUUCAGAACAAUCCCAGAGCCAAUGUAAUAGCUAGAUAUGAGUGGACAGGUGUAUGGAUAGCCAAUGAAGUGGCUAUGAUGAGUAUGAAGACAAAUGCAGGAUUGACUUUCAUGGAUAUUGCCCCCAUGCUAAAGAUCAAUGAGCUAGAAGACAUUUGCCUUGGACAAUAAGUGUGUGACUUGUGGAGCAUUAAGACGCGGCUGCUAUGAAGGAGCAGAGGGCAUGCGCAGGUUCCGGGAACAAGUUGACUCUUGUCAAGGUGGUGAGCUUGGAGAAGGCAUUGUAAUACUCAGUAUCAAGACAUAUAUGGAUCAACCUUUAAUGGGCUGCCCCCAUGGU